GACGAACGCUGGCGGCGUGCCUAAUACAUGCAAGUCGAGCGGACAGAAGGGAGCUUGCUCCCGGAUGUUAGCGGCGGACGGGUGAGUAACACGUGGGUAACCUGCCUGUAAGACUGGGAUAACUCCGGGAAACCGGAGCUAAUACCGGAUAGUUCCUUGAACCGCAUGGUUCAAGGAUGAAAGACGGUUUCGGCUGUCACUUACAGAUGGACCCGCGGCGCAUUAGCUAGUUGGUGAGGUAACGGCUCACCAAGGCGACGAUGCGUAGCCGACCUGAGAGGGUGAUCGGCCACACUGGGACUGAGACACGGCCCAGACUCCUACGGGAGGCAGCAGUAGGGAAUCUUCCGCAAUGGACGAAAGUCUGACGGAGCAACGCCGCGUGAGUGAUGAAGGUUUUCGGAUCGUAAAGCUCUGUUGUUAGGGAAGAACAAGUGCAAGAGUAACUGCUUGCACCUUGACGGUACCUAACCAGAGAGCCACGGCUAACUACGUGCCAGCAGCCGCGGUAAUACGUAGGUGGCAAGCGUUGUCCGGAAUUAUUGGGCGUAAAGGGCUCGCAGGCGGUUUCUUAAGUCUGAUGUGAAAGCCCCCGGCUCAACCGGGGAGGGUCAUUGGAAACUGGGAAACUUGAGUGCAGAAGAGGAGAGUGGAAUUCCACGUGUAGCGGUGAAAUGCGUAGAGAUGUGGAGGAACACCAGUGGCGAAGG
rnacentral:rRNA from 1 species